rnacentral:rRNA from 1 species
UACGUAGGGCGCAAGCGUUAUCCGGAAUUAUUGGGCGUAAAGAGCUCGUAGGCGGUUUGUCGCGUCUGCCGUGAAAGUCCGGGGCUCAACUCCGGAUCUGCGGUGGGUACGGGCAGACUAGAGUGAUGUAGGGGAGACUGGAAUUCCUGGUGUAGCGGUGAAAUGCGCAGAUAUCAGGAAGAACACCCGUGGCGAAGGCGGUUCUCUGGGACGGUACUGACGCUGAGACGCGAAAGCUUGGGGAGCGAACAGG